rnacentral:misc_RNA from 1 species
AAGUCGUAACAAGGUAACCGUAGGUGAACCUGCGGUUGGAUCAUUAAUAAAAUUUUUAGCCUGGGAGUUUAAUUUCUCCUAGUCGCUAUUCAUUUUUUGUGCACUUUAAAUUGUAUCGCCCUUCUAUAUAUUUCUUUGCCCUAAUUAUAGGGUAGGAAGUGUUGGGGGGGAAUUUUUAAAAACUUUUGUAAUAAAUUCCUAGCCUAAAAAAAGUUGAAUUUUCGAAUUCUAAUAAAAUUUUAUAAACAACUUUUGACAACGGAUCUCUAGGCUCUC